rnacentral:rRNA from 1 species
CUCCGGUUGAUCCCGCCGGACCCGACUGCUAUCAGAGUGGGACUAAGCCAUGCGAGUCAACAUAGCAAUAUGUGGCAUACGGCUCAGUAACACGUAGUCAACAUGCCCAGGGGACGUGGAUAACCUCGGGAAACUGAGGAUAAACCGCGAUAGGUCAUCACUUCUGGAAUGGGUAAUGACUUAAAUCUAUAUGGCCCCUGGAUUGGACUGCGGCCGAUCAGGCUGUUGGUGAGGUAAUGGCCCACCAAACCUGUAACCGGUACGGGCUCUGAGAGGAGGAGCCCGGAGAUGGGCACUGAGACAAGGGCCCAGGCCCUAUGGGGCGCAGCAGGCGCGAAACCUCUGCAAUAGGCGAAAGCUUGACAGGGUUACUCUGAGUGAUUUCCGUUAAGGAGAUCUUUUGGCACCUCUAAAAGUGGUGCAGAAUAAGGGGUGGGCAAGUCUGGUGUCAGCCGCCGCGGUAAUACCAGCACCCCGAGUGGUCGGGACGUUUAUUGGGCCUAAAGCAUCCGUAGCCGGUUCUACAAGUCUUCCGUUAAAUCCACCUGCUUAACAGAUGGGCUGCGGAAGAUACUAUAGAGCUAGGAGGCGGGAGAGGCAAGCGGUACUCGAUGGGUAGGGGUAAAAUCCGUUGAUCCAUUGAAGACCACCAGUGGCGAAGGCGGCUUGCCAGAACGCGCUCGACGGUGAGGGAUGAAAGCUGGGGGAGCAAACCGGAUUAGAUACCCGGGUAGUCCCAGCUGUAAACGAUGCAGACUCGGUGAUGAGUUGGCUUAUUGCUAACUCAGUGCCGCAGGGAAGCCGUUAAGUUUGCCGCCUGGGGAGUACGGUCGCAAGACUGAAACUUAAAGGAUUUGGCGGGGGAGCA